GCUUUUGAAAGAUAAUAGAUAUCUAUU
rnacentral:tRNA from 1 species